rnacentral:rRNA from 1 species
UGGGGAAUUUUGGACAAUGGGCGAAAGCCUGAUCCAGCAAUGCCGCGUGUGUGAAGAAGGCCUUCGGGUUGUAAAGCACUUUUGUCCGGAAAGAAAUCCUUGGCUCUAAUACAGUCGGGGGAUGACGGUACCGGAAGAAUAAGCACCGGCUAACUACGUGCCAGCAGCCGCGGUAAUACGUAGGGUGCAAGCGUUAAUCGGAAUUACUGGGCGUAAAGCGUGCGCAGGCGGUUUGCUAAGACCGAUGUGAAAUCCCCGGGCUCAACCUGGGAACUGCAUUGGUGACUGGCAGGCUAGAGUAUGGCAGAGGGGGGUAGAAUUCCACGUGUAGCAGUGAAAUGCGUAGAGAUGUGGAGGAAUACCGAUGGCGAAGGCAGCCCCCUGGGCCAAAUACUGACGCUCAUGCACGAAAAGCGUGGGGAGCAAACAGGAUUAGAUACCCUGGUAGUCCACGCCCUAAACGAUGUCAACUAGUUGUUGGGGAUUCAUUUCCUUAGUAACGUAGCUAACGCGUGAAGUUGACCGCCUGGGGAGUACGUCGCAAGAUUAAAAGUCAAAUGAAUUGACGGGGUCAUAGCUG